rnacentral:lncRNA from 1 species
UGGUAUCAAAAGCAGACAUAAGGUCUAGGAGCACGAGAACAGAUGCAGAGCCUCGGUCUGAUGCCACCAAAAAAAGGUAAUUUACCACCUUCACAAGUGCAGUCUCAGUGCUAUGAUGGGGUCUAAAACCAGACUGAAGCAUUUCGUAUACAUUGAAAAGCUAAUUUCCUUUUCUUAUGUAUUUUACUGCGUCAUUAAGGCUUUUUUAUUUACUUUGCAUAAUGGAGCGCAUUAAGAUACGGAUGUUAGUUCACUCCAUUGCUUUUUCUGUCUCUGUGUUUGUUUCAGGAAAGAAUCUCAUGGCUCCAAGUCCUCACCCUGGUCCUCUGCAGAGAAAGUCCUCAACGGACAGUAUUGAACGGAGAAAGAAAGAGAUGCCAAAGAUCCCCACCACCCCCACCAGUCCCAUGUCCCCCUCCUUCAGCUCAGCAGGGGUUCCCCUGUCCCCUUGCCUGGCCACUGGAGUAACCAUCAGGGACAAGUGCAUCGAGAUGCUGGUUGCUGCUCUACGCACGAUGGUGGGGAAAAGACCAGCCACUAACUGA